rnacentral:rRNA from 1 species
GAUGAACGCUGGCGGCGUGCCUAAUACAUGCAAGUCGAGCGAACAGACGAGGAGCUUGCUCCUCUGACGUUAGCGGCGGACGGGUGAGUAACACGUGGAUAACCUACCUAUAAGACUGGGAUAACUUCGGGAAACCGGAGCUAAUACCGGAUAAUAUAUUGAACCGCAUGGUUCAAUAGUGAAAGACGGUUUUGCUGUCACUUAUAGAUGGAUCCGCGCCGCAUUAGCUCGUUGGUAAGGUAACGGCUUACCAAGGCAACGAUGCGUAGCCGACCUGAGAGGGUGAUCCGCCACACUGGAUCUGAGACACGGUCCAGACUCCUACGGGGCGCAGCAGUAGGGAAUCUUCCGCAAUGAGCGAAAGCAUGACGGAGCAACGCCGCGUGAGUGAUGAAGGUCUUCGGAUCGUAAAACUCUGUUAUUAGGGAAGAACAAAUGUGUAAGUAACUGUGCACGUCUUGACGGUACCUAAUCAGACAGCCACGGCUAACUACGUG